CACCGAUAAGAGCAAACUGCCGGUAACGGCAGGACGCAGAGCCUCCGGCCCUCAGGAAUGAGGGAAGCGGGGCCGCCGAA
rfam:Nitrospirae bacterium RIFCSPHIGHO2_02_FTLL_42_12 rifcsphigho2_02_scaffold_14644, whole genome shotgun sequence.